GCAUUUGCGAUGAAGAUUUGGCAAGACCUCCAGUAGCAACAGAUGGGGCAAACACCUCAGCCAUUAACUCAUAGUGUUUGCAACCAUUUCGCUUAAAAGUCUUGAAUUUAGAAUGCUUCUCACAAUUUUUUC